rnacentral:rRNA from 1 species
GACGAACGCUGGCGGCGUGCUUAACACAUGCCAGUCGAACGGAAAGGCCCUGCUUUUGUGGGGUGCUCGAGUGGCGAACGGGUGAGUAACACGUGAGUAACCUGCCCUUGACUUUGGGAUAACUUCAGGAAACUGGGGCUAAUACCGGAUAGGAGCUCCUGCUGCAUGGUGGGGGUUGGAAAGUUUCGGCGGUUGGGGAUGGACUCGCGGCUUAUCAGCUUGUUGGUGGGGUAGUGGCUUACCAAGGCUUUGACGGGUAGCCGGCCUGAGAGGGUGACCGGCCACAUUGGGACUGAGAUACGGACCAGACUCCUACGGGAGGCAGCAGUGGGGAAGAUUGCACAAUGGGCGGAAGCCUGAUGCAGCAACGCCGCGUGCGGGAUGACGGCCUUCGGGUUGUAAACCGCUUUCGCCUGUGACGAAGCGUGAGUGACGGUAAUGGGUAAAGAAGCACCGGCUAACUACGUG